GAUUUACUGUAUCCUUUUUAGAGCUCAGGCAUGAGUUGGAGGAGGCUCAGAGACAGACAUUGUGUGAUACUGAAAAUCUCCUUCAACUCUUACCCUUCUCCUCAACUCCCAGAAUCUCUCUUUCUUUAGGGUUUGUUACAUAGGUAUACAUGUGCCAUGGUGGUUUGCUGCACCCAUCAACCCAUCAUCUACAUCAGAGAACCUUGUCUUGGGCUAUUGGUAGCCUGUAGAUAAAUUACCCUUGGAUCAAGUGACCAUCCCUGUACAAUAAGAGUUGGCUGAGGAAGAGGAUAGACUGUGAGCAGGAAAGAUCCCCUAGAAAGGCAUCCAUGAUGUGCUUACUAUGUGGCAGGCACUGCUCUUGGUGCUGUGACAAAAACAGGACAUCUAGAGCCUCUGUCUUCAUGGAUCUCAUAUUCUAUUGGGUGGAGAGACGACCGAUUGAUGAUGUUCAUGGAUGCCUUUGAAAUUUGCCAAUAAUGAAAAAACUGAGGUAUAGGAUGAUACAACUGGGCCAGGCAUGGUGGCUCACAUCUGUA
ensembl:lncRNA LINC01630 long intergenic non-protein coding RNA 1630